rnacentral:rRNA from 1 species
UACGGGGGGAGCAAGCGUUGUUCGGAUUUACUGGGCGUAAAGGGCGCGUAGGCGGCCACGACAAGUCACUUGUGAAAUCUCCGGGCUUAACUCGGAACGGUCAAGUGAUACUGUCGGGCUAGAGUGCAGAAGGGGCAACUGGAAUUCUCGGUGUAGCGGAUGAAAUGCGUAGAUAUCGAGAGGAACACCUGCGGCGAAGGCGGGUUGCUGGGCUGACACUGACGCUGAGGCGCGAAGCCAGGGGAGCGAACGGG